rnacentral:rRNA from 1 species
GGCUCAGAUUGAACGCUGGCGGCAGGCCUAACACAUGCAAGUCGAGCGGCAGCGGAAAGUAGCUUGCUACUUUGCCGGCGAGCGGCGGACGGGUGAGUAAUGUCUGGGAAACUGCCUGAUGGAGGGGGAUAACUACUGGAAACGGUAGCUAAUACCGCAUAAUGUCGCAAGACCAAAGAGGGGGACCUUCGGGCCUCUUGCCAUCAGAUGUGCCCAGAUGGGAUUAGCUAGUAGGUGGGGUAAUGGCUCACCUAGGCGACGAUCCCUAGCUGGUCUGAGAGGAUGACCAGCCACACUGGAACUGAGACACGGUCCAGACUCCUACGGGAGGCAGCAGUGGGGAAUAUUGCACAAUGGGCGCAAGCCUGAUGCAGCCAUGCCGCGUGUAUGAAGAAGGCCUUCGGGUUGUAAAGUACUUUCAGCGGGGAGGAAGGCGGUGAGGUUAAUAACCUCAUCGAUUGACGUUACCCGCAGAAGAAGCACCGGCUAACUCCGUGCCAGCAGCCGCGGUAAUACGGAGGGUGCAAGCGUUAAUCGGAAUUACUGGGCGUAAAGCGCACGCAGGCGGUCUGUCAAGUCGGAUGUGAAAUCCCCGGGCUCAACCUGGGAACUGCAUUCGAAACUGGCAGGCUAGAGUCUUGUAGAGGGGGGUAGAAUUCCAGGUGUAGCGGUGAAAUGCGUAGAGAUCUGGAGGAAUACCGGUGGCGAAAGGCGGGCCCCUGGACAAAGACUGACGCUCAGUGCGAAAGCGUGGGGGAGCAAACAGGAUUAGAUACCCUGGUAGUCCACGCCGUAAACGAUGUCGACUUGGAGGUUGUGCCCUUGAGGCGUGACUUCCGGAGCUAACGCGUUAAGUCGGACCGCCUGGGGGAGUACGGCCGCAAGGGUUAAAACUCAAAUGAAAUUUGACGGGAGGCG